CACCUGAACACCUGGCUGGGCAGAGAAAGCAAUUUGUCAUGCAGCAGUCACUCUUGGGACAUGAAGGUAAACCAGACUCCCUUCUACUGACCAGACCUUCUGUGAGGAGCCUCCUGAUCUUUCAUCAUUUGAGUUACUCUACUUGUGAAGCUACUUGUCAGUGUCUUGAACGAUAUAACUCAGAGGUACACAGAGGCAUGACGUGACCGGAGCUCAGUAAGAACCUUGCUUAUCAUGAGCAGGAUAUCAUGUCCUUUCUAAAAG
rnacentral:lncRNA from 1 species